rnacentral:rRNA from 1 species
AGCUCCAAUAGCGUAUAUUAAAGUUGCUGCAGUUAAAAAGCUCGUAGCUGCAUUUCCGAGGCAAGGGAUUAGUCCGACCUUUGGUGGGUAUUUAAUCCUCUUGCCUCGUCCUUGAGUGGUGCUUCUUGGUAUUAAGUUAUCGAGGAGAUAGCCGCUCAUCGUUUACUGUGAGAAAAUUAGAGUGUUCAAAGCAGGCUUAUGCCGUUGAAUAUAUUAGCAUGGAAUAAUAAGAUAGGACCUCGGUACUAUUUUGUUGGUUUGAGAACCAAGGUAAUGAUGAAUAGGGACAGUUGGGAGUAUUCGUAUUCAGUUGUCAGAGGUGAAAUUCUUAGAUUUACGGAAGACGAACUACUGCGAAAGCAUUUACCAAGGAUGUUUUCA